CUUGUACUCCCUCCGUCCAGAAAUACUUGUCAUUCAAAUGGAUGUAUCUAGAUGUAUUUUAGUUCUAGACACAUCCAUUUUGAUGACAAGUAAUUCCGGACAGAGGGAGUACUUG
rnacentral:pre_miRNA from 1 species